GACGAACGCUGGCGGCGUGCUUAACACAUGCAAGUCGAACGCUGAAGCUUGGUGCUUGCACUGGGUGGAUGAGUGGCGAACGGGUGAGUAAUACGUGAGUAACCUGCCCUGGACUCUGGGAUAAGCCUGGGAAACUGGGUCUAAUACUGGAUACGACAUGCCACGGCAUGGUGGUGUGUGGAAAGGGUUUUACUGGUUUUGGAUGGGCUCACGGCCUAUCAGCUUGUUGGUGGGGUAAUGGCCUACCAAGGCGACGACGGGUAGCCGGCCUGAGAGGGUGACCGGCCACACUGGGACUGAGACACGGCCCAGACUCCUACGGGAGGCAGCAGUGGGGAAUAUUGCACAAUGGGCGGAAGCCUGAUGCAGCGACGCCGCGUGAGGGAUGACGGCCUUCGGGUUGUAAACCUCUUUCAGCAGGGAAGAAGCGAGAGUGACGGUACGUGCAGAAGAAGCGCCGGCUAACUACGUG
rnacentral:rRNA from 1 species